rnacentral:misc_RNA from 1 species
GUCCGUAAAGGUGGAUGAGUGGUGUUUGGUUUGUCACGUGUGGUUGGCUGCGGCGUUUGCAACAACUUCCAUGCUUUCAGACCUCUUCAGUUGUGCGGCAAGGCUUGUAUCGCCUUGCUGUAUUGUGGGUUUUCUGUGUURAAUACCUAAUCAAUGGUAUCGGUUGGAUUGAUCAAUGUUUCAUUUCGUCUGUCGUCGCAUUCGCGGCGUGAGACGAACCUCGAUGCGGUCUCUUUGGUCCACCUUGUCGAAGCACAUGCUUUGACGUUGUGGCACAUUGAGCAUUGCUUGGUCUCUUGUAUACGGAACAUAUAGUGGGCAUGGAUCUAACGAUUCUUCUUUGCCCUCAUGUUAGCGUAACGCUUCUCUUACACGACUUGCUCCAUGUUUUAGCUCGUACGGACGUGGU